ensembl:lncRNA
UCUCACUCUUUCUCUCCCUCUCUCCCUCUCACACACACAUUCCACUCCACACCUGCACAGAUGUUGCCUACUCCUCAUUACCUGUCUGUCAAACCAGUCCUCUCCUUCUCCUCCUCACGGUUUAAUGAGGUAGUAAAGGAAGAAGGCUCAUCAUUCUGUCCUUAACUCCGAACACCUCUCUCUCUCUCCUUCCUCUCCCCUCCUCUCGUUCUCCCUCUCACAGUCCCUCCUCAUUCUCCCCUCUCUCUCUCUCUCUCUCUCUCUCUCUUGGAGGUAAACCCCCCUCCCCUAUCUCCCCAUCUCAGCCUUAUGACUUAUGACAUGCAAACACAUGUUGUUCCCUGCUGGGUUUUCUUCUGUCGGCUGAAGGGAACAGUGGCAGUAUCACAGGGCCCAUAGUGGACACUGGGAUGGUAUGGACCUGCCUUACCAAGGAUAAUGCUCCUACUCUCCUCGGGACUGUAAAUCCACUGGAAUUCUCUCUUCUUGUUGUCUCUCUCUUCAGCUGGGGUCUGGGUUCUGGGUUCUGGGUUCUGGGUUCUGGAGUCUGGGGUCUGGGGUCUGGACAGUUCAUCUUUCCCUCCUUAACAACCUCUCCUCCACAGUGUCUCAGAUACAGGAAACAUUGGCCAGAACUGAUCACCGAGGCUUCAUGAUAGGAUCUCCAACCCGUUACCAUGGCGAUGUGUGAAAGACCAGUAGACACUCUUCCAGUCAGUCAUCAACCCCCUCACAGACACGGCCAGACUCUGGACACAGUGACCGUUCUACUGGAGGAUAUACAGGGUCACCGUGAGGUUGAAGGUCAGGGUCAGGGGGUUGAGGUUACCUCUGUAGUGCAGUGUUGUGAUGGCCUGAGCCCCAUGUCCACACCACCUCCCCUGGGGGAAUCAGGAGACCCAGAGCCCAUGAACAGUGGAUCUACUCAGGCUCAAACCACAACGAACAGAGAUCUAGAUGAGGUGGACAUGGACCAUAGGCCUCCCUGUGAAGCAGAUCCCAUAGAGAGUGGACUGACCCUGGGUCAGACGUGGGACAUGUACGAGGUGGACCAAACCUCCACGAUGAGCUGUGAUACUGAGGUGGAGCUUGGGACGGGGACUGAGACUACUCCACACAUACAGGUGUGUCCUGCAGAGUCUGGUCUGGUCACAGAGGUGAAUGUACGCUCUGGGAAACAACGUGUUAGAGAGCCUGUAGAGGAGAAGGAGAGGCCUAAGGAGACCCCUUCUCCACCCUCCUCUCCAGUCUCCUCUCCGCCCCUCUCUCCUGGCCAGACUCUGGGAUAUGUUGCCUUUGAUACCCCCCAGGAAAGGUGUCUAGAUGCCCCAGGGCCAGGCAAGGGUAGUUCCAUGGACCUGUUCUGUAUCGUAAAACACAAACCCAGCGCUAUCGUGUUCUCUGGAGACGACAACAUCGACAACGUCAGUCCACCUAGAGUCUUCGUCACCCAGAGCCUCGAUGGAGAGGAGUCUUUCUCGGGCGAUGAGGAUGAGGGUGGCGAUGAUGUGGAGGAGGAAGAGGAGGAAGAGAAGGAUGAAGAGAUCCCUGAACUGCCGCAGUAUAAGGAGUUCCUAGUCAGCCGUCGCCGUAGAAACGUGAGCAGGAACAGGAAGAGGCAGAGGAAAGGACAGGAACUCCCGCCCACUGGCUCUCUGAUUGACCUGGGCUCCACCAAUAAGACCAGGUUAAAGGCCAAGGAGGAAGAAGAUGAGGAAGAGGAGGAGGAGGAAGAAGAGGCUGAAAGGAGACGGGCACGGUCCCCGUGGUGUGAUUCUAUGAGUCAGCUGAUGAGGAAGUUGGAUCAGCUCAAUCUGGACAUACAGGAAGCACUCAGCGCUGCUAGCUCCUCCCACUCUGACAACGACCAACCAGAAACACAACAACCAGAACUGAGUGCUCCUGCACUGGGAAGGAUGAUAAGCAGAGGCCUGGUCCACGACCACAAUACCUCCAGGCCUUCUAACAGACCCCCAGAGAGCAGCGUGUCCAGCUCCAGACAACGUUCUCGUCCCCUGGCCCGCAGCAGACCCCUGAUCCGUUCCUCCCUACACUCCCCCUCACACCUCCACUACAGACGGAGAACCGGUGAAAACAGGAUGACCAGCCAAUCAGAAGGUAAGAUGACCUCUUUAUCUGGUGUGUGUGUGUCAAACCUCAACUCUCCUGAAGUAAACACACACACAAAACACACACAGACACACGCACAGACAGACAGACAGGCAGACAGACAGGCAGACUGUCUGUGGUUGAUAAGACAGGCAGACAGACAGACAGACAGGCAGACAGGCAGACAGACAGACAGACAGACAGACAGACACACGCACAGACAGGCAGACAGGCAGACAGACAGACAGACAGACAGACAGACAGACAGACAGACAGACAGACAGACAGACAGACAGACAGACAGACAGACAGACAGACAGACAGACAGACAGACAGACAGACAGACAGACAGACAGGCAGUGAUAUAAUGUGUUCUGUUGUGAAUGUUUCAACUUUCCAGGACGUUCCUAC